CACAAAACAAAAAACUUUGACAGCACUACUACGAACACGGCCACCAACAACGCCAUCACCUCUACCACAAUUAAUACAACAAAAAUAUGACAGAAGUGGUGGGGAACAACCGCGACAACACAAAUGGUAACAACAAUAUUACAUGAAUAACAACAACAGCAUCAACGGUAGCAGAUUUGCAGCAAUGGAUGCAAAAGGAAAUGAAGUGUUUAGUAUGAGCAUAUUAAAACGAUAUGUCUGGCUCAAGAGGCCAAAUUGAUAGACUUGAAAAAUAAUGGACUGACCUAGGCACGCCCGCCUCUACGCAACUGGCACACACACACACACACACACACACACACACACACACACACACACACACACACACACACACACACACACACACACACACACACACACACACACACACACACACACACACACACACACACACACAUGCACGCACAAAAUACAUAAAUGUAUUUCCAUGAACACAAAACAACUGGAGACAGCGAAUCUGACUGUCGUAGAAUGAAAUGUCGCUGAAAGAAAUAAAGGCCGACUUAAAGUUAUCUCGAGGGCUAAGUAAUUUGCUGGCAUUUUAGUACUCUUCAAGAGUGAAGCUCUGGUCGUCUGAUACUCCGUGGUUCUUUGUCAGAGCGAUAAAUAUGUUCUCUUUCCAUCAUAUUUAGAAAGGAGGACGGUAAGAAUGAAGAUCUCGGGGGUUAUAUAUGGUGAAUAUAUGGUGGAUCACUGCAUGCAUCGUCUUAGAAGGAAGUAACACCAACUUCUUAAAGGUGAAGCGAUCCCGUCGUGAUAACUGGUCUAGGAUCAGUGUGGAAGUGCUACACCACAUCAAACCAGACAUUAUCCACAUGAUCCCAAACCUUAUUCGCCUUCCGGGAUGGGAUGAGUUGUAUGUUCCGGUUCAGGGUAGAAGGAUUUUAGGCCACCUGUGAGGGGAGACUGGCCACUUGAAAGCUUUCUGCAGCGAACAACAACAAAAGCGGCACCAACCCCAGCAUAAAAUGGCAGCAUGAACAACAGAAAUAGUUAAAUUAGCAACUGCUGGAACAACACCAUCAACAGCAGUACCAGCAACACUUGCAGCAGAUGCACCACCACCACCUUCAACAGUAGAAAGAAAAUAACGGAUAAGAAACACUCAGGGGCUCUCCCAACGAACUCUUCUUCUCACUCUCUGUCUCGUAUAAACACAAACACACACAUAGACUUUCAUACAAAUACUAAUGCACUCUUACCCAUAUCCGAAACUGUUUCCACAGAUAUUGAUGCCUCAUUAAAAUGAUAAAAGCCAAAAUAAAGCAAAAACAUCAUGCCUCACACCAACACACACUAAAAGAACAUAUAAAACGCACCCACAACAAUCACAGAUACGUCUGCAGAACACGAACCUCUCCAGCAGCUCAGUCGUCAACACAUUCGUCGCUACCACAACUAGCUCCGCAACCGCAACAAACUACAACGCUACCGCAACUACAAAAAAAAAACGCUCAACCGCAAUAACCAGCCACACAGACACAAAACAUCGUGCUAAUGAGGAGAGCCAACAUAGAAUUGACGGCCCUCAUAGCACGAAGCAAGGACAUUGUGAGAUAGAAUGUGAUCAUCGGCACGAGCAUCUUUCAAGUGCCAGAAACACUGAUGAUGGUGCGUAUGCUACUGGAAACUUAUAAAAAGAUUAGGGAUUUUCCUUCGCGAGUAGACUUUUAAGGGUGCUCCCAAAAGAACUCCAACCAGAUUUGUAGGUCGAACCACUUGACCUUCAACGGCACUCAGCGGACAUUUGCUGAAUUCCAACAGUGAAUUUUAUCUGUUCCAGGUAUCAAAUUAGUUUAUGGAAGUUCUUAAUUCCCCACGGUGAAAUAAUUUAUCGUAAGGCAGUUCAGUCAUUAGUCUUCAGAUUUUCGGAAUGGAGUGAUUCCGGCCAGAAAGAUUACCUGAAGAUCAUCUCCAACAAAUAAGAAACCAGGAGCAGCGAUUCUACAAUGUUUACAGUAUGCUGCAUCAGACUGACCUUGGGACUGGCAGACUAACCUAUCCAAGUGAUGAUUAAAAUCUUCAAAUAACAUCAUCUCUUCGUUUCUGAUCACCUUAUGUAAAGAAUAGCACAACCAAGGUUGCCAGACUGGAUGAUGGAAAGAAAGGAAAAAAGAAAGACAAAGGGAAUGAAGGUUUACUUGGUUUAACGCUGAACUGAGGCUGAAAAACAAAAUUAACGACCCAGCCAAUGAGGGAGCCUCAAAACCAAUAUUUUUCAGCCUCAAAGUCGCACUGGAUUCCAGAGGUAGGUCAUCAUUUUUUACAGGUAUGUCGUGAUGCAAAUUUCAGAUAUUUAUCUUUGAUGAAAGUGCAAAAUAUUUUCGAGUAAUGAUACUGUUUAUUAUGAAUGUUUUUACUUCCGUUUGGGCUAUCAAUGUAUUUGAUAAUCACUAAAAAUAUAUUUACUUUUUAAAUUUUUUAAUCAAAAAGUUUGA
rnacentral:lncRNA from 1 species